rnacentral:rRNA from 1 species
UUAACACAUGCAAGUCGAACGCUGAAGCCCAGCUUGCUGGGUGGAUGAGUGGCGAACGGGUGAGUAACACGUGAGUAACCUGCCCCCUUCUUUGGGAUAACGCCCGGAAACGGGUGCUAAUACUGGAUAUUCACUGAUCUUCGCAUGGGGGUUGGUGGAAAGGUUUGUUCUGGUGGGGGAUGGGCUCGCGGCCUAUCAGCUUGUUGGUGGGGUGAUGGCCUACCAAGGCUUUGACGGGUAGCCGGCCUGAGAGGGUGACCGGUCACAUUGGGACUGAGAUACGGCCCAGACUCCUACGGGAGGCAGCAGUGGGGAAUAUUGCACAAUGGGCGAAAGCCUGAUGCAGCGACGCCGCGUGAGGGAUGGAGGCCUUCGGGUUGUAAACCUCUUUCGCUCAUGGUCAAGCCGCAACAGUGGUUGUGGUGAGGGUAGUGGGUAAAGAAGCGCCGGCUAACUACGUGCCAGCAGC